CAGCCGCGGUAAUACGUAGGGUGCAGGCGUUAAUCGGAAUUACUGGGCGUAAAGCGUGCGCAGGCGGUUUGUUAAGACAGGUGUGAAAUCCCCGAGCUCAACUUGGGAAUUGCGCUUGUAACUGGCAAGCUAGAGUGUGGCAGAGGGGGGUGGAAUUCCACGUGUAGCAGUGAAAUGCGUAGAUAUGUGGAGGAACACCGAUGGCGAAGGCAGCCCCCUGGGUUAACACUGACGCUCAUGCACGAAAGCGUGGGGAGCAAACAGGAUUAGAUACCCUGGUAGUCCACGCCCUAAACUAUGUCAACUAGUUGUCGGGGAAGAAAUUCCUUGGUAACGAAGCUAACGCGUGAAGUUGACCGCCUGGGGAGUACGGCCGCAAGGUUAAAACUCAAAGGAAUUGACGGGGACCCGCACAAGCGGUGGAUUAUGUGGAUUAAUUCGAUGCAACGCGAAAAACCUUACCUACCCUUGACAUGCCAGGAAGCCUGCAGAGAUGUGGGUGUGCCCGAAAGGGAACCUGGACACAGGUGCUGCAUGGCUGUCGUCAGCUCGUGUCGUGAGAUGUUGGGUUAAGUCCCGCAACGAGCGCAACCCUUGUCGUUAAUUGCCAUCAUUUAGUUGGGCACUUUAACGAGACCGCCGGUGACAAACCGGAGGAAGGUGGGGAUGACGUCAAGUCCUCAUGGCCCUUAUGGGUAGGGCUUCACACGUAAUACAAUGGUCGGUACAGAGGGCUGCCAACCCGCAAGGGGGAGCUAAUCCCAGAAAGCCGAUCGUAGACCGGAUUGUAGUCUGCAACUCGACUGCAUGAAGCCGGAAUCGCUAGUAAUCGCGGAUCAGCAUGUCGCGGUGAAUACGUUCCCGGGUCUUGU
rnacentral:rRNA from 1 species